rnacentral:rRNA from 1 species
UACGGGGGGGGCAAGCGUUGUUCGGAAUUACUGGGCGUAAAGGGUGCGUAGGCGGCGGGGCAAGUCUGAUGUGAAAUCCCGGGGCUCAACCCCGGAACUGCAUUGGAUACUGCCUUGCUUGAGUACUGGAGAGGAGACUGGAAUUUACGGUGUAGCAGUGAAAUGCGUAGAUAUCGUAAGGAAGGCCAGUGGCGAAGGCGAGUCUCUGGACAGUUACUGACGCUGAGGCACGAAGGCCAGGGGAGCAAACGGG